UAAAGCCGUACUGCUCCGGCCAGUGGA
rnacentral:sRNA from 1 species